UUGGAGGAACAAUAAGAACAAACAAAAAAGAUUGGAAAAUAGAACACAAAUAGCAAGAUAGUAGAAACAAACCCAAUCAUAUUAAUCACUUAAAGUAAAUUGACUAAACUCUUUGUUUAAGAGGUAGAGACUGUCUGACUGGAUAAAAAUAUAAGACAACAAUAUGCUGUCUAUAAAUGAUGCAAUUUAAAUAUGCAUAUACAUGUAUUUUGAUGUAAAAAAUGAGAGGAAAAGGAGGUAUUUCAUAAUAUACCAUGAAAUAGUAAGCACAAGAAAGCUGCUGUGGCUGUAGCACAAAGAUCAUUACUACAAAGACAAAGAUUCAAGACAAAGAUUAUUACUACGUACAAAUAGGGACACUUCAUAAUGAUGAGUUAAUACACCAGGAAAGCACAGAAAUCCUAAAGAUGUAACUGUGCACAUGAGAAUAGAGCUUUGAAAUACAUGAAACAGAAACUUAGAAUUAAAGCAAGAACUAGACAAAUCCACGAUUAUACUUGGAGAAUUUAUCACCUUGUUUUCAUAAGUUGAUGGAACAAGAAGACAAAAAAAUCGGUAAAGAAGGAGAUGGGAAAGCUGCCCAGGAGACGUACCCUCUUCAUCCACUCGGCCCCUGCGCCCCUGCUUCCUCCUGGUCUCUCCCACACACAUAUUUGAAAUGUCCUUCCUUUAUCCCUCUGUUUAUCAAAAGUAUGUGGAAUCAGCUAAAUAAAUUAUGAAACAUGUGUCAUGGUUCUCUUUGUUCCAUGACAGUAUAAACCUGCAAUUAUUUAACCAAGAGGGAAAACACAGAACCUUCAGCACCUCGGUGCAGGUCAACAAAGGCAUGCAGAUCAGUUGCCACAACACAACGUGCCGGGUGUUUUGCUCACUACCUGCAGAAACUGCCUUGCUCAACAGAGACACACUCAGAGCUUCGCGUCACUUGAGCAAGACUGGAAGCCCCUGAAGGCUGGUUCUAUCCUUUUCCAUAUGCCACCCACUCCCCAGGGCUGUGCUCAGUAACCGGUCAGAGACUGACAUCCUGCAGUGGGAGUCCAGGAUGAAUGUAAUGAAAGUUCCCAAGUUGCCAGCUUCUUACUGAAUCUGCAACAAAGGAAAAGAUCUUCCUUCACAGACUAUAAAAGACAAAUUGGCUGAGUUGGAGUGGGCAGAUGUAGCUUUCAUCAGUCCUGGAUAGACUUCACGGUGGCUCGCCCAAUGGGACAUGCAGAAUAUCUGGCUGUGGUCUUCGGUACCCAUCCACCAGGAAGCAGGUGUGGCAAAUGUUGCUGGUGGGAUGCAGCCCUGGAGAAAGUAUUCACCUUUGUAAGGAAAUAAUUCCCAGCCCUGGGAGCAGCUGGAUCGUACAGCAGUGAGGCCUUUUCACAGUGCGGCAGAGCCCUCCUGGGAGUGCCCAGCACCUCCUCCAAGCAGCACUCAGGCUCUGGCUAGAGCUCUUGUGGGCUGGGCAAAGGGGACAUGAGUGCCACGCUGUCUGGGAACAGUGUUGCUUGUCCCUGUCCAAUGGGGAAAGAAGAGCUGGUCUCAGACAUCAAGAGGGGUGUCACAAACCCCUAAGAGAGGUGUUCAGUUCCCUCUGAAACAGGUGAGGAUGCUUCCUGUACCCCCGUCUCCCAGCUAGACGUCCCUGCCCAUUGACCAUUAGGUUCAUGUUUUCUUGGGCCAUUUGGAGAGGCGUAGGUAUUCACAAGGGCAGGUGGAUGAUGCCAAGCAGUCCCAUGGCAUACACAGG